GAGACACAGGCACAGGCAUGUCAGGAGAAUGGAAAAAUUGAUGUUGAUUUCCAGCUUAGUAAUAAUGGCCUUGGACAUGAAGCACUGCAGGUUUUAAACAUCGAAAAUGGUGAUGAAGAAAUAUAUCCUGGUGCUCUUAUAACAAAGUCUCAAAGUGUUCUCCUGCUCGUCGCAUUUUUAUUAAAGAACAAUUUAACAGAUGCAGCUUUGACUGAUCUACUCGACAUUUUGAGUUUGAUUUUGCCGAGCACGUUUCCAUCCAGCAAGUAUAAGUUCUACAAAGCAAUUCAAGUGGAGGAAUCUCAGGGCUUGUAUUCUUGAUGAAAAUGAUCGAACUGGAUUAGAACUAGCGGCAAAUAACGUUACGGAUUUACAGUUUA